GGCCAGGCCUUGCGCGACGAAGACCCGCAAACCCCGCCAGGGCCGGAAGGCAGCAACGGUAGCGGGAUCCUUCGGGUGCCGCAAGUCUCCUGGCCGGA
rnacentral:SRP_RNA from 1 species